GGACUACUCGGGUAUCUAAUCCUGUUUGCUCCCCACGCUGUCGCGCCUCAGUGUCAGUCACUGCCCAGCUGGCCGCCUUCGCCACCGGUCUUCUGCCGGAUCUCUACGCAUUCCACCGCUACACCCGGCAUUCUACCAGCCUCUACAGUACUCAAGUCUCGCAGUAUUCGCGGCAGACACGGGGUUGAGCCCCGGGCUUUCACCGCAAACUUACAAGACCACCUACGCGCCCUUUACGCCCAGUGAUUCCGGACAACGCUCGCACCCCCCGUAUUACCGCGGCUGCUGGCAC
rnacentral:rRNA from 1 species